GACGAACGCUGGCGGCGUGCCUAAUACAUGCAAGUCGAACGAGAGCGACCGGUGCUUGCACUGGUCAAUCUAGUGGCGAACGGGUGAGUAACACGUGGGUAACCUGCCCAUCAGAGGGGGAUAACAUCCGGAAACGGAUGCUAAAACCGCAUAGGUCUUCGAGCCGCAUGGCUUGAAGAGGAAAAGAGGCGCACGCUUCUGCUGAUGGAUGGACCCGCGGUGCAUUAGCUAGUUGGUGAGGUAACGGCUCACCAAGGCCGCGAUGCAUAGCCGACCUGAGAGGGUGAUCGGCCACAUUGGGACUGAGACACGGCCCAAACUCCUACGGGAGGCAGCAGUAGGGAAUCUUCCGCAAUGGACGCAAGUCUGACGGAGCAACGCCGCGUGAGUGAAGAAGGUUUUCGGAUCGUAAAACUCUGUUGUUAGAGAAGAACAAGUGCUAGAGUAACUGUUAGCGCCUUGACGGUAUCUAACCAGAAAGCCACGGCUAACUACGUG
rnacentral:rRNA from 1 species